rnacentral:rRNA from 1 species
UACGAAGGGGGCUAGCGUUGCUCGGAAUCACUGGGCGUAAAGCGCACGUAGGCGGAUCUUUAAGUCAGGGGUGAAAUCCUGGAGCUCAACUCCAGAACUGCCUCUGAUACUGAGGAGCUCGAGUCCGGGAGAGGUGAGUGGAACUCCGAGUGUAGAGGUGAAAUUCGUAGAUAUUCGGAAGAACACCAGUGGCGAAGGCGGCUCACUGGCCCGGUACUGACGCUGAGGUGCGAAAGCGUGGGGAGCAAACAGG